UUUCAAGAGAGAGAAAUGAGAGAUUUUGGAAUGUGUGAGAUAAGCAUCAUGGACGGCUAAAUCACAGCUCAAAGCCCACCGAUUCUGAAUUAGAAGAACGUUAGAAGCCAUACUGUUUCGAAAAACAGAGUUCUACAUCACCUCCAAGCAAAUGAUAUCAUUUGUAGGACGGCUCUAGGGAAGAAGUAUAAUGGAGAAGCGAAAGGUUUAAAUGGGUGCUCCAGGAGCAGACUUCAUCCCAUGGCUUGGCUGGGAGAAUUAUGUAAAUGUGUUGGAGAAGAGAAUGGAGAAAACUUUAGCAGAGAUAGAUUUUUUCUUGAUACUGUGAUUCAACAACACAGAAUUGGACAUAAGAAAAAAGACUAUCAUGAUAAUGAUGCAGACAUUGACUUAAUAGACUUCCUCCUUCAGAGGAGCUUUGGAAUUUCUAUUUGAAGGAUAACAUCAAAGCCAUUCUAUUGGAUAUAUUUGGUGCCGGAACUGAUCCCACAAGUAUACUUCUAGAAUGGACGAUGACAGAAAUUUUAAAACAUCCAAAAGUAAUGAAAGAAGUUCACGAGGAAGUAAGGGGGGUCACAAAGGGCAAAGAGAAUAUUGCAGAUGUUGAUAUAAAACAAAUGCAUUAUUUGAAUGCAGUGAUUAAGGAGACACUAAGACUGCAUCCUCCACUCCCUUUAUUGACUCCGCGUAAAUUGACAGAAAAUGUCAAUAUACAAGGGUUUGAUGUUCCAACCAACACAACGGUAAUAAUCAAUGCAUGGGCCAUUGGAAGGGACCUGUGUCCUGGGAUGAACCCGAGAAGUUCAAACCAAAGAGGUUCUUGAAUGAUGCCUCUGUUGAUUUUAAUGCUCAUGUUGAUUUUAAUUAAUUCCAUUUGGGAUAGGCAGGCGAGGAUGCCCAGGAGCUCAAUUCGCUUUUGGCAUUGUUCAACUUGUAAUCGCUAAUCUUUUGCACAAGUUUGACUUGGAGAUUGAGUGGCAGGACUUGAAUAUUACGGAAGCUACCGGAAUGUCAAAUCAUUUAAACUAUCCUCUUCAAGUUCUUGUUACUUCGAAGAAUAUUUGUGGCCCACUUAUCAUUUGUAGUGACCCACAUAAAUAGAUUUUUUUUUUUUCCUAGUAAUGAGAUAUUUGUAAAUUCUUAUAAAAAUCCAUGUGAUAUUAUUAGUGCUUC